UGGGGAAUAUUGGACAAUGGGCGAAAGCCUGAUCCAGCCAUGCCGCGUGUGUGAAGAAGGUCUUCGGAUUGUAAAGCACUUUAAGUUGGGAGGAAGGGCAGUAAGCGAAUACCUUGCUGUUUUGACGUUACCGACAGAAUAAGCACCGGCUAACUCUGUGCCAGCAGCCGCGGUAAUACAGAGGGUGGAAGCGUUAAUCGGAAUUACUGGGCGUAAAGCGCGCGUAGGUGGUUCGUUAAGUUGAAUGUGAAAGCCCCGGGCUCAACCUGGGAACUGCAUCCGAAACUGGCGAGCUAGAGUAGGGCAGAGGGUGGUGGAAUUUCCUGUGUAGCGGUGAAAUGCGUAGAUAUAGGAAGGAACACCAGUGGCGAAGGCGACCACCUGGGCUCAUACUGACACUGAGGUGCGAAAGCGUGGGGAGCAAACAGG
rnacentral:rRNA from 1 species